AGUAACAUGGCGGCGCUUGUUAUUAUAAAUUAUUGUGUAAUGUGGAUUAGCGAUUAUUAUACCAUAAAAAAGCUUUGAUAGUGUAUGUGUUUAUGUGGUGCGUUAUUGGGUGGAUUUGUUUUAAGUGGAUAUAUGUAUAAGGCAGUGUGGGAUCGAUGUAGGACCGAACAAGUGCAUAUGUUGGUGACUGUAAAUAAAGUGCAGUUGCAGAACGAUGUGGCAACAGAGGAAGAGUCAUGAUACAGACAGCAGCAGUUCCAAUGCCCAGCAGAGAGGUUGAGAACAACCAGCGCCACGGGAGAUCUCCAAACCAUUACCAGUAUGCCAUGUCCCAGAGGUAGAUAACAAACAGCAUUGUUAAAGAUGAUGUGUAAUUUGCUGUGAUAGUAGUAUGUUUUUAAGUCGACAUUUGAAUGAUUGUUUUGUUUUCAGGCAUCGCAAUGGUGGUGGGAGAUCAUUCCAACAGCGCGUGGCUGCGAACUUAAAACACCCUCUGAAUGCUGUAGUUCUGUGCAUUGGUACCAGCAACGGGCACACCAUGGAGCGAAGACCAUGCUUUGAGUUAACAUCUUUCCAGGUAUAGGCCGCACGAUAGCACAACGCCAGAGUUCAGGGAAAGUAUGCGUGCUUAUGGACCGGUUAAUAAUGUCUGUGAUCACUUGCAAAGUGGUUGGUAGUGUGAGGCAUAUCAUUUCGAGGCUAAUGCCAUCGAUACCCUGUGCAUUCGAUUUUAGACUUUUAAUUAUUUUGAGGACUGCUUCGGCCUUGGUCGCUGUGAGUGUAAAGGAAGCGUCACUAAACCUGUGUGAUUGAAAAUAAGACAGCUGUGAGUCGCUGUGUUGACAAUUACCCGGCACAUCUAGAAACGCUGCAUUGAUUUCGUCAGGUUUGUCAAAAUGUCCUGGUAGCAAUCUUUGUUUGUGGUCUGGCAACACAUCUGUUUUUAAAUUGCGCCAUAGAAGCUUUGGGUACUCAAUGUUGUCAUUAAUGCUCUUAGCAAAGUAUGCUUUCUUCUCACUAGCCAAUGCCGUAAUUGCUUGAUGUUUUAAAUCAAGGUAAUAUUUUUUAUGUUCUGGCAAUUUCGAUUUGUGAAACCUAUCCCUAGCCUCGUCUCUUAGUUUAGAAAUAAGCCUGAUAUUGUCAGUAAUCCACGGAGUGGGACGGGUUUUAAAAGUCUUCGUUUUGAUGGGAGCGUGGAGGUCAAACAGAUGGAUCAUUGCAGAGUUAAAUGUUUGCACCAUGGCGUUGAUAUCCAUCAUGUCACUAAUACGC